GCACCGGUAUCACCGCGCGCAGGUACCUGCCUCGCGCGCCCCCCACACCUUGCGCCUGUCCCUCCCCGAGCGGGGCGGGGCUCGGCCGCUUCCUCCUCCCCAGAACCUCGGAGGGAACCAGCCGCCUACAAGCCCCAGCAGCCUGUGCGCUUCCGCCUCCCUUGUAAUAGGCAAGAACCAACCCCAAGGCUGCUGGGGGCUGUAGUCUGGGGAGCAGGCUGGGCGCCUAGCAGCAGAGAGGACUGAAGACGCCUGGCCCUGCCUAGCAACAGGCUGGGCCUAGAUAGGGUCCAGCCCUGCUGGAGUGACUGGGCCCAAGCCCCAGCCUGCCCACCACAACUUCUUCAGCAGACAGAGCAGCAGCUCAGGCCUAGUACUAGGCUUUGCAAUGCCCAUGCAGCCAGCUCUCUUUCCAUCUAUGAGUGCCCCCAUGAUGACAUAGGGGGGACUACAGGCCAUCUCCAUCCUCUGUAAAAGCAGCAAAGUAUCCAUCCUCUGGAUACUCCACAGCCUCCCUGCUGCUACAACUCCUCCCCUCUUGGGUGGGUGAGGGGGGGAAAUCAGGUCAUCCACAGCUUUGACCUUUGCUGUAGCCAGCUGGUCAGAAGGGAAUCACAGAGGUGAAGUAGGCUUGGGCUGUGUGAGGGGAUGCCACUGGUAGGCAUGCGGCUGGCAAGGCUUCUGGAAGUGCAGGACCCUAUACAGCUGCAUGGAAAACGUAGGGCUAAGGCUGCAACCAAAGCAAGUGGUGUGAGGGAGGCAGCCUUUGAAAGUCCUGGAUCUGUCCCUCACCUGUCAGUGGUGUGAAUCUAUGUGUUAAUUUAACAUUGUUUUGCUAUUGUAAUAUGAUUAAUAGAUUUGAUUCCCCUUCCUCACUCCUUUGCCUGACACUUCUCAGAAACAUGGAUCAAGCUCUGCUGUGAGACGAUUAACUAGUUUUCUUCUUUUUUCUAAUCACCUGUGCCUACAGCUGGUUCCACCUGUUACUAACCGUCACCAAAAAAAUAUCAGGGUUGAUGUGGAGAUAUAAAGAGGAGCAGGGGUGGGAUAGCCAUCAUCCAGCUGCCCAAGAGCAGAGAACUUUUGUCAUUUUACGUACACACAGGAGUAACACUUUCUAUGCUGCAUAUUCCUUAUAAUCUCUCAUUAGAGCAGCCAGCAAGUGGCAUAAGAAAAACAUGAAAAGUCUCCCUUCAGCAUAUUUGUUUGUAAUCCAUAAGGAUGUAUCCAAGGAAGAGGAAACUUGCUUGGUUAGUUCUGCCAAGAUCAGCAUAUACAUAUCAACCCAAGGAAAAUCAGGAGGAACAGAGGUGUUCAAUUCUGCUUUGGUGUACAUCAGAUGCAUUGUCCUGGGAACAUCCCUGCAAGAUUCCUAAACAGAAGUUUGGAACAACUACAGGAGGGAGUGUCCAGUGAUUCCCUCCCAGAUUUUACACUGAACCUGGUGGUUGCCAGGAAAGGACUUUGGGAAUGUGGUCAGUGCUAUGCGAAUAUGCAUAUAGCACAACACAGCCUAUAGUUGAUGUACCUCACUAGCAAGUGUUCUUACAGAGUUUUCAUGUACCCUUAUCAAAGUGGCAGUGUGAUUACACAGAGCCAUUUUAAGGGGCGUGUAUAAGCCUGGAAAGUUCCCCACAAUAGUGGGACCCUUCCGCCACUUACACUAGGAGCGGGGUCAGUGGCCGCCCUGCCCGUCCGGAGAGUGAAAUGAACCGGUUCCUCCCCCCACAGCCCGGCUGUUCUGGACAUAAGUGGCUCUGCUCUGGUGACUCCCGAUAAAAAGAAAAAAAAAGUCUCAUUGCCUUAAUUUAAGGAGGUGCCCAGUAACCUAGAAUAGUUUUCAGAUUCCAGUUUGCAGGGCAAGGAAUUAGACGAAUGGGUGCUCUAGAAGUAUUUCCUAGCACCAAGGAAUGAAGCACUUGGCCAGGUUGCUCUCUAAUGACAUACCCUGACUCACAGGAUCACUCAGAACAGCAGUAACUUGCAAUGGAAGUGGCAUUCCAAGUUAGUAUGCAUUUCCAGGAAGAAAUAAUACGUGAAGCUGUGGAUCCCCUCCCACUCCUCCCUCUGGCUAGAUGAUCAACAGCUACAUAUAGCUCACAUAUAGUGGCUACACUCAGAACCUACCCUUCUUUAGCUACCUUUCCCUUCCAUGCAGCCCACUUGCCUUUCCCUGUAUGAUCACAAACUUUCUGCUUUCCAGUAUGAUGCAAAAAAGCAAAGCAAUCAUAAGGAUGUAAAAGCUAACAAUAUCUUGGCUUAAUAACAAUGAAGCGGUGGCAUAAUAGCCAUUAAGUAUCUGAAAGGUGUAAACACAAGGGGGGUAUUUAAGAUAAUAUAACUAGGAAUAAGGGGAUAAACAUUAAGAAAAGGGAGAAUUUAUACUUAAUAUCAGGAAAAUUGUUCUGACUAUUCCACCAUGAAAAGGUUACAAAAUAAUCUCCCAAGGAAAUGGUGGAACACCAAUCAUUUGAAACUCUUAUAAAUAGACUGAAAAAAGCACCAGAAAACAUACUGCAGGGAACAAUCCUGCAUAGGCCUAUUUCUAUCACCUGAAAAAGGUCUAUGAUAAUACUUUGCCCUUAUAUAAUAGUCCUCAGACAACCCCAAAAUACUUUAACAUGAAUCAAGCCUCAGACUAAAGCUCCAAGUCCCAUUCAUUCCAUAAUUCUGCAGUUGAAGAAUUUGACACAGAAUCUACCCCUUGCUGGAAAAUUGUGCUCCAGAUUUUUCAGUUGAAAUGAAGUGGCCACAAAAUAUUAUUCAUCCCAAUAUAAAUGUGGCUCUUCUUGUUAACCAUACAUUUUUUUUCUGAAUCCUGCUAAGUAGUUGGUCUUGAUAUCUUCUGGUAUUGAGUUCCACAGGUUAAUUAUAUGCAAUAUUAAAAUGUAUUUCCUUUUAGAAGUUUUUUUUUGCCUUUAAAUUCCAUUAGAUAUCACUUGUUCACAUGUGCUUUGUCUAUUUUAUGUAUAAUUAAGUAUAGCUCUAUCAUGUCACUUCUGAUUCCGCUCCUUUCUAAAUAGUCCCAAUUGUUUCUCUCUUGUCAAAUGGAUAAGAUUAUUAAUAUUUUCCUUCUUAGUCACCUUCUGAUUCCCACCUCUAUUUCUGCAAAAAUAGUGAGAU